rnacentral:rRNA from 1 species
CGUGUAGGCGGCUGGAUAAGUCAGAUGUGAAAGCCCUGGGCUCAACCCAGGAAGUGCAUUUGAUACUGUCCUGCUAGAGUAGGGAAGAGGGAAGUGGAAUUCCUGGUGUAGAGGUGAAAUUCGUAGAUAUCAGGAGGAACACCGGUGGCGAAGGCGACUUCCUGGUCCUAUACUGACGCUGAGACGCGAGAGCGUGGGGAGCAAACAG